rnacentral:lncRNA from 1 species
AAAAUUGGAGAAACUUCUGCAGUUGAAAUUUAGAGGUGUCUAAAGGGUUGAGUAUGUCGAGUGCAUGCAAAAGUUAAUCUCACGGAACAGAUAGAGGAUAUUUGACCAUUAGUGUAAAGAGGUAUCGAAAGCUAGCAAAUUGGGAUUGUUUAGGAUUUUUGUAAUAUCUAGAGAUCUACCGGCUGGACUAAGGUGACUUUUGGUAUGAUAAGUC